UACAGAGGGUGCGAGCGUUAAUCGGAAUUACUGGGCGUAAAGCGUGCGUAGACGGUAGCGUAAGUCAGAUGUGAAAGCCCCGGACUCAACCUGGGAACUGCAUUUGAGACUGCUCUGCUCGGGUGCGGAAGAGGGAAGCGGAAUUUCCGGUGUAGCGGUGAAAUGCGUAGAUAUCGGAAGGAACACCAGUGGCGAAAGCGGCUUCCUGGUCCGACACCGACGUUCAGGCACGAAAGCGUGGGGAGCAAACAGG
rnacentral:rRNA from 1 species